ACCUUCCUUGUCUUGGGGUGAGUGGGUUGAUCAAUGAGCGUCUAGCGAGAUUAACCCUGCUAACACCUUACCAACACAACUAGCAUCACCUGAACACUCCAGUUCAGGCUAUGGUGCAAUUUUUGGAACC